ACAAGAGAUUUCUUGUUUGCAGCAAAAGGAUUCUUGGAAAUCAGUGCUAAAAGAAUUUAGCUGCAAAAAUGGAUACAAUCUUAAUAGGAAUGGGGAUAGUGGUCCAUUGCUUUUGGAUGUUCUCGAAGGAUUCUUAAAGUAUGAGGUUCGAUAAAACUUCUGAUAUUGUGGUAUGCUUAUGUUUCUAUUAGUAGGACAUUAGAAGAAUACAAAAGUUGGGGAGAUUUGCAUUGAUAAUCCUAUCGACUUGUUUGUUGUUUAUCAUCCUUGAAAAGAAUUAAAUGUCGAGAAGGAUGAAUUCAAUAACAGAGGUCUACGGAACAUGUUAAAUAUAUAAAUAGUUCAGUUUGUAAAGAGUAGUUGUCUCAACAUCCUAAUGCAGUUGUGGCCCUCUCGCCUUGUGGUAUCCAAAUUUUCCUUGUAUUUUCUCUCCUAUAGAAUGAUAAAUCGCUUACAAAUGCCAAACAUGACCAAAUGUGGUCCUUAGGGGGGGAAUAUAUUACUAGAGGUCCCAAGAAGCUAAUCAAAGAGGAGGAUGGAAGUAAAUAAUAAGUUGAAAGCAUUUUUAGUGAAGUCCUUCACUUGGUUAUGGAGAUUUAGCAGAGAAUCGUCUGUGUUAGGGGAUGCUAAGGCUUCGGCUAUCAAGGCAGCUCUGGUAAAGGAAGAGAGAGGUAAAUAUGAAAUGAGGCAAUCUCUGAAAGAUGAAAAGGUUGAAGCGGAAAAUACUUGAAAACCUUUAGCACUGGAUUCGUUCGGUUGAACGGUUGGAUGGAGACUUGCUGUUGAUUUGUUAAGAAUGAUCUCUCUCUUGUGGGUCUGAUGAGAUGUAUAGUUUUGGUUCAGAUGCUGCCUGCCGACUCCAGACUGUUUGGCAACUAUUUAAUUAUAAUAUUCACCAUCCAUAAUGCAUGUGAUUAGGGAAAGUGAUAGUCAGUCGUAUGCUGGCUGAGAUUGAUUCUACAGAGAUCAGUUCUUCUACAGAAAAUACAUUUGUGAGAGAUGUAUCCAAUUAAAUGAAGAUGAAGAUGCUUUUUCAAUAUGAGCAGGUGAGAGUGGAUGAAUCGGCUUGCAUUGCCACAAGAUUUUUUGAAUUGUGAAGAUUUUGAACUUGGAGGAAUUGUUCUUCUACCACAGCUUAUCCUCCAAUUCCUUGAAUUUAGGCCACCCCAAAAAGUGUUGCCUAAAAUGUCCUAGUGUACACUCCCUAGGAGUAGGUGGGCUUAUUGGAGGAGGUAGGUUUGCACUCAUAAAUUCAUGAUUCCUUAUGAAGAAAAAUUGGACCACACUUAAGGCUGAUGCAGAACAGACUUUUGAAAUUGGGCUUUAUGUCUGUCAUCAAACAUUACCAAAUAUCAGUAAGAGUUAACAUUCCAGACAGAGACAAGUAGGACCACACUGAGCACUGUCAUUCUCUCACUUGGUAAAAAGAAAUUUAUCUAUACAAUUGACAAAUUCAAUUUGCCUAUGUGCUUUUGAAUUUCUUUUUCUAAUUGUAUUUGGUCUUUAACAGAAAUAAGUCAAUAAUGCUAAUUGUUUUUUUUUUUU